rnacentral:rRNA from 1 species
AUUGAACGCUGGCGGCAGGCCUAACACAUGCAAGUCGAGCGAGCGGCGGACGGGUUAUUCAUGUCUGGUAAACUGCCGGAUGGAGGGGGAUACCUGCUGGAAACGGUAGCUCAUACCGCAUACCAUCAACUGUGCCCCGAUGGGAGAGGCUGGUAGGUGGGGUAACGGCUCACCAAGCCUACGAUCCCUAGCUGGUCUGAGAGGAUGACCAGCCAAACUGGAACUGAGACAAGGUCCAGACUACUACGGGAGGCAGUAGUGGGGAAGAUGGCAGAAUGGGCGAAAGCCAGAUGCAGCCAUGCCGCGUGGGUGAAGAAGGCCUUCGGGUUGUAAAGCACUUUCAGCGGGGAGGCGUUACCCGCAGAAGAAGCACCGGCUAACUCCGUGCCAGCAGCCGCGGUAAUAC